UUGGCUGCUCUAACAAAUAUAACAGAGACUACAUGGCUGAAACAGCAAACAUCUAUUUUUCCUGGUUUUGGAGGCCGGAAGGGCCAAGACCAAGGCACCAGCAGGUUCGCACAACAAAGCAGCUUCUUGACUGUCCAUGAAAACCUCACCAAGCAAUUCUGGUGAUAUUCUGCUGCUACAGGCCAGGAACAACUUAUUUUCUGUUAACAGGACAAGAAGUCCAUGGUACUUUAUUAAAACAGCAUUCCCUGUCGUCCACGACCAUGUCUUAUCUAGUUGGCACCUGGGAGCUGCUUUGUCUACUAACAUCCUGGCUCAGUUGACAGACUUUGGAGUCUGCCAGGAUUUCCACUCUAAGCCACCGCUCCCCACACUGUCUUAAAAAGAUCCACAUUUAUCCCUAGCCUGGCCCUGGUCUCUGCGCUGAGCCCAGCGUGCUCAUCUCUCAAAGGAACGGAUUGAACCGUAGUGGGGGACACGUUCAGCUUAUGAAUGUGGAAGGAGUGAAAAGUUAUAAAAUUUAUGAGAUCAGAUGUUGUUUCCAAAUCUUCCAUUAGAGAAAGCCAUUUGCCAACUUAAUGCAUCUUAUACCUUGAUUACAAAUGUCUGUCUCCGGAAAUGUUGAUGAAGCCCAGAAACUUGUUCAGAAGAUGCAUGGUUCGUGCCGUGCUGCCACAGGCCAUUAAACUAUCCAGUAACAAUCACCAGACUAACAGGAGAUUUUAUUUCAAGGAAAAAUUAUUGCAGCUGACAAUCGGAAGAGAUAAGACCUGGAAUAAUUAAUGCCUUUGCCUUUUUCUGGUCUUCGGCAUCGGCCCAUGACGUACACAGAUGGCGUGUGGUUACCUCUUUGGUGACAAUUUGCUACUGGGUCAAAGAAUAAUACAACCAAGACAAGGAGCCUUCUGAAUAAGAGUGGCUGACUCCCGCAGACCAGGAAGAAAAAGGAGAGAUUUACAGGAUUGUUGGGAGGGCUGGUGGAACCGACUAAAGAUUCCAGGCAAGUGGCUCAACCCCCAGCUAUGAGCUGCCUGAACAGGGGCCGAGCCUCUGCUCCUGCCCUCUGGGUCUCUGAGGAAACAGCCACGCUGGCCUCAGCCCACCCAAGCCACUUCUGCACCAGGGAUCGUCUUGCAGACAGCUGUGUCACCACCUGCUCUAGGAGAAUGGAUUCUGCCCAGAGCCUCCUUCCUCAGGUCACCCAACUGCCAGUUCCUGCUUAAUCUGAGUUGACUUUCCUGACACUUGUUAUUGAAGGGCCAAGCCCCACCUGAAGCAGA